rnacentral:rRNA from 1 species
CUAGCCCUAAACCCAAAUAGUUACAUAACAAAACUAUUCGCCAGAGUACUACUCGCAACUGCCUAAAACUCAAAGGACUUGGCGGUGCUUCACAUCCAC